rnacentral:lncRNA from 1 species
AAAAAUUAUGAAGCUUAUACACAGAAGAAGUAUGAAAUUGGUGGCGUUACUUUUUCCGUUCUUGAGUUAUGCCCAGAAAUAAUGCUAAGUCUGUCUUUUUCGUGUUUUAACUUUAGUUUGUCCCAACUAGUCUAAAUGAUACGAAACUUAUGAUUAUUAUCACAAUACAUUGUACUAUCUUAACUACGUGUAUCAUGCAUCCGUAAGUGGAUUUUUAACUCGUGCAGCUAGGCAAGUAAGGCAUGUGUAGCCCAUCGACACAUUCUCCAUUUA